UCGUUUCACCCUUCCCGCUGCUUGGAGACUACUUUGCCGAGAGGAGAGCAGGGCAGCUCCGGAGACGGACCUUCAGCGGCUUUAGCAACUUGAAUUCAGUUAGCGCAAACCCCAGUGCCGGGUGUCUGAUUCCCGGACCGCCUCGACUCCCCCCGGAUCAGCAAACUUUCUGUUGCUGCAAUUACACAGGGUUAGACCGAGCACUGCUGCUGUUCACCAGCCUGCUGUGACCCCUGACGCCGGGGUUUGCGCUGGCUGAAUUCUAGUCGCUAUCUAACCCUAAAGCUGCAUUCACAACAGAUCAGGCGUUGCGGCGAUUCACCACAGGGUUGUGUGGCGGUGUGGGACCUUUAAGGCCCAUUAACUGCGUCGAUCAACGUCUUUUGUUCCCUCACGGCUGGGUUGUACAGCUCUGGAUCGCCGGAUACGUGAUUGGCCACCGCAGCGUGACGUCGGGUUGUGUUUCUCCAAAAGUUGAGUCCGUUUCUACUUUUCCGCCGCAGCCCAAACGCACCUCCCUCACUCUAAAUUAAUGGGAGGACUUGUGUUUUCGCCGCACCUCUGGAUCUGCAGCGGAACCCUAAUGCACAGUAAUGUCAUGCACUGUUUUGGCCAAUGGGUAAAAUUAUCCAAAUAUUUGCAAAAAUGUUGCCAACUGAUCAAUAUUUUAAGCAUUUAUCAAGCAAAAACUCCAAACAUUUGCCAGUUCUAACUUUUUUGCUGCCUUCCUCUGUUUUAUAUGAUUGCAAAUUGAAUAUCUUUAGGUUUUGGACUAAAAAAAGAUAGCUGUGGAAAAUGAUAUUGUUCACUAUUUCUUCACAAGCAAUUCAUUUAUUAAUUAAACAAGUACUCAAUAGAUUAACUGAUAAUGAAAUUCUAAAGAAGAUUAUACUUUGCAGGACAGAAAAGGCUCUGAUUUGCAUUUAGGUCAUCACAGGACACUGCAGCUCCGCUGAGAAACAGGCUAAGAUAUACGGAAUAUUUAUGUAUGAGUUAUAUGACAGGGUGACCUGCAGUACCGUAAGGGAAGGGAACUCUGAGACCCACUCUGAGACAAUCAGUUAAAAGUAAUUAUUGAAAAAAGUAUGAUCAGAAAUACAGUAUAUUCUUGUUUUAGAGUCUGUUUGGGAGCUCAGAGGCACAUUUAUGGCCGUAUGAAUUUCAGUCUGAAAAACGGCAUGUGUUCUCAGAUAACUCUCUCCGGAUAAAUAAAGAUAAAAAAGAGAAUAAUAAUGAUCAAAGCUGCAGAUCCCUGACAGAAAACAUCCAGAGUAAACAAUCCCGACUUCAACCUCGGCUCUUGACUUUUCUGUCCGCGCUGUGUCUCCUCAGACCAGCCGGGGAUAACAGACAUCCACAACCUUCCCAAAUGAAUAAAUCAUGUGGAAACGCACCUUGGCAGACACCUGGCUCGGGAAAGGUUUCAGCGCUCUCCUGAGUGCACCGUUGCCCCGUGUUUAGAUGAUCAAGAUGACCUUGUUCACAUUCGAAGUUUGAGUUUGUCUUGGCUGUAGCUGUCCAGUGGGAGUUUAUAGAUAAACUGAAUGGACAAAAGUAAAGCUGAGACGUAUUCGUGGAUAACUCAUUUGUCGAUCGACAGAAAAUUAAUUGGCAAUUAUUUUGACAAUCUAUUACAGUAAGUCAUUUUUAAAGCAAAAAUUCAAACGCUAUCUCGUUCCAGCUCGGAGUGGCUGCUGCUCUUCAUCUUAUGUGACAGUGCAAAUGAAUAUCUCUGGAUUUUGGACUGUUGGUUGGACGAAGAAAGCAAUUUUGAAGACGUCAUGUUGGGCUUUAGGGAAUUCUGAUUCUGAUUUUUCAGAAUUCUGUGACAUUUUACAGACCAAACGAAUAAUUGAUUAAAGGGUAACUUCAGUAUUUUUCAACCUGGUCACCAUUUUCCCAUAUUUGUGUGUCUAAGAGACAGAUAGGGAUACUUUUUUUUCAAUUGGUCCAGUAUUUAGGGAGGACGCUGUAACCGGCAGCUCGUAGGGCAAGUGAGCAGCGUCAACGUUACCUCUAACAUUAACUCUACAGAGAAAUAAGACCUUUUUCCUUUACCUUUCUUUCGCUUGAUCCGGUCUGUUUGUUAUUGUAUGUCACGUUCUGAAACCUUGCGUCGCCUCCACAAUGUGAAAGUCAUCUAAAUAUGUAGCUAUGACAUUGAAAAUCUUUUAGAUAACACUAAGCUACGCUUUCCGACUCCAACACA